rnacentral:tRNA from 1 species
GCCCCGGUCGUAUAGCCAGGUCAAGUAUACUGGCCUCUCGAGCCAGCGACAACUAUGCUGGAAACCCGGGUUCAAAUCCCGGCCGGGGCA